rnacentral:rRNA from 1 species
UACGAAGGGGGCUAGCGUUGCUCGGAAUCACUGGGCGUAAAGCGCACGUAGGCGGAUCUUUAAGUCAGGGGUGAAAUCCUGGAGCUCAACUCCAGAACUGCCUUUGAUACUGCAAGUCUCGAGUCCGAUAGAGGUGGGUGGAAUUCCUAGUGUAGAGGUGAAAUUCGUAGAUAUUAGGAAGAACACCGGUGGCGAAGGCGGCCCACUGGAUCGGUACUGACGCUGAGGUGCGAAAGCGUGGGGAGCAAACAGG